GAGAAAGACAUAGUGGCUAUGAUGUUGGCUUGAAACCAGUAAUGGGGGUUCGAUUCCUUCCUUUCUUA
rnacentral:tRNA from 1 species